CCCACUCCCCACCCCCCACUCGCUGGGGACCAGCCAUUGAUGUUGAUGGGACCUUUGAGACAUUUUGACGGAGAAGGACUUUAGGGAGAUGGGCUUCCAGUGUAAAGUGUGACUGGAUAAGUUAGGAAGCCCAGAUUUUAACUGUCUUUCUCUGCCACUGCCUUGGGACCACUACAUCUACACCAAGCUCAUCUGAUCUGCUUCUUUUAGGACAUUAAGAGAAGAUUCAUCUUCGUUCUUUAUUGUCACUGUCCCCCCGGCCUCCUGAAAGUUGUUUCUCUGCCUUCUGAACAUGAACAGAAAAGAAAAUGAAUGACUUGUCCACACUCCCUAUGAACCAUGGACAAUACCCAGACCUGUUCCCAUGAGGAGGCUGAAAGACCUUAACUGAAGCCCCGCAUGUUAUAGGGUCUCUGUAAAUGAGUUUAGAUGGGAUCUCUCUCACCGCUGCCUCUUGGACUCAGCGUUAGGAUUUUAUAAUGAGCUGUCACUUUGCUGGGGAUAAAAACUCUGUUUUGACUGUCUCUGUUGCCUGGGUUCCUCAAACAACAACCAGAAGAACUUGAUCCGUGAACAAGAGUUAGACCACAAUCUGAAGAAUUUUUUUUUAUCUGAUUAGUUCCUUGUCUUCUUUGUCCCACGUGCUUCUGAUGCUCCACAGAGAGCAGGCUGGGAGAGCAGAAACAUGAGCAAUAGGCAAUGUGCAUCCCAGCAGUCACAGACUCUAAACUUCCAGCCUGGGGCCCGCAGGUAGGUGAACAACCAGCCCCUGUGGGAGAAAUAAUCACCUAUUCUUUGCUAAGACUGGAGAGCAAGAGCCAGCCCCAGCUGCCUUAAUGGUUUUCCCUCUUUCUGUGAGUCUGACCUCAGGUCAGGGAAUGAUCGACAGAAGGCCUUCGGGACAACCAGUUCAUCCCCACAAAUUGGUGUCUUCCAAGUCUCAGUGCUUGUGACCCACUCAGUCCUGUCUCCGUUAUUUCCAGUCACUUGCCUGGGGAACUUACGGCAGAAGGUCCUCUUGCUGGGAAAGUGUCUUUCAUGGUUGGCUUCGGUAUGCUGGGGCCCAGAAAUCAAAGGAAACUCAAUUAUCAUGCACAGCACAGGUGGCUCUCCCUCCAUGAUAGUGUCAAAAGCUGUCAGGCAGGAAGCCUUCCUGUCCUCACAGCCUGCCUCUGACCUCCCAACCCCCAGCGGACCAGGUAUCUUAGGUAACAGACAGCUGCCACUACUGAGUCUACAGAACUUAAUGGCACUUUUAUCAGUACUUAAACCUUCCAGGGACUUAAUCACAGAAUCAUAGACAUGGGGAAUGUGAGAGUAGCAAAAGACUGUGGAGAUGGGCUGGUGCACCCUCCUGGACAGUUUUACAUAAAAGAGCUGUGGCAUUCAGGGAGAUAAACCCUCCCCACCCAGAGUCACAAAGCUGCCCAAAACCAAGUCUGGAGCCCAGACAAACCAGCCCAAGGUUGGGCUUAAGCCCACACCAGUCUCUCUCUCUCUCUCUCUCUCUCUCUCUCUCUCUCUCUCUCUCUCUCUCUCUCCUCUAAUCACUCCUGCCUUGUGUCUUGUGGUAGGUUAGGAGAAAGACUUCAAGCAAUUGAAAUGUCUCUCUUGCAGGCUUCCCCCGACCAAGUCCUUGUCUUUGCCAGGAUGGUAUUGACACAAACAGAUCAGAGAACACAGUGGUCUGCGAAUUGUAUCUUGGAUAUUCUGAGCUUCUGGGCUAAUAUCCACUUAUCAGUGAGUGCAUACCAUGUG